GCGGGCGUAGCUCAGCUGGUUAGAGCACCGGUUUGUGGUACCGGUUGUCGCCGGUUCGAAUCCGGUCGCCCGCCCCA
rnacentral:tRNA from 1 species